rnacentral:tRNA from 1 species
GAGGGAAUAGCUCAGAUGGUAGAGUGAGUGCUUAGCAUACACAAGUUCCUGGGUUCAAUCCCCAGUACCUCA